rnacentral:rRNA from 1 species
CCUACGGGAGGCAGCAGUGAGGAAUAUUGGACAAUGGGCGCAAGCCUGAUCCAGCCAUGCCGCGUGCAGGAAGAAGCAUCUAUGGUGUGUAAACUGCUUUUGUACGGGAAGAAACACUCCGACGUGUCGGAGCUUGACGGUACCGUAAGAAUAAGGAUCGGCUAACUCCGUGCCAGCAGCCGCGGUAAUACGGAGGAUCCAAGCGUUAUCCGGAAUCAUUGGGUUUAAAGGGUCCGUAGGCGGUUUAAUAAGUCAGUGGUGAAAGCCCAUCGCUUAACGAUGGAACGGCCAUUGAUACUGUUAGACUUGAAUUAUUGGGAAGUAACUAGAAUAUGUAGUGUAGCGGUGAAAUGCUUAGAUAUUACAUGGAAUACCAAUUGCGAAGGCAGGUUACUAUCAAUAUAUUGACGCUGAUGGACGAAAGCGUGGGGAGCGAACAGGAUUAGAUACCCUGGUAGUCCACGCCGUAAACGAUGGAUACUAGCUGUUCGGAGCAAUCUGAGUGGCUAAGCGAAAGUGAUAAGUAUCCCACUGGGGAUCGUUCGCAAGAUGAAACNCAAAGGAUUGACGGCUGAGAGAGCGACGACGACACGAGGGAGGAGG